UAGCACUUUGCCCAGAGCGACAAAGUAAGACUACCUCCAGUUUAAGAAGUGCAAUAUUAAAACAAAAGCCAUGAGUCUUUUAAGCCCAGUGUGUAAAGAUACACUCUGAGUUAUAACUCAGAGGCACAAUA